ACACAUGCAAGUCGAACGGAAAGGCCCAAGCUUGCUUGGGUACUCGAGUGGCGAACGGGUGAGUAACACGUGGGUGAUCUGCCCUGCACUUCGGGAUAAGCCUGGGAAACUGGGUCUAAUACCGGAUAGGACGAUGGUUUGGAUGCCAUUGUGGAAAGUUUUUUCGGUGUGGGAUGAGCUCGCGGCCUAUCAGCUUGUUGGUGGGGUAAUGGCCUACCAAGGCGUCGACGGGUAGCCGGCCUGAGAGGGUGUACGGCCACAUUGGGACUGAGAUACGGCCCAGACUCCUACGGGAGGCAGCAGUGGGGAAUAUUGCACAAUGGGCGCAAGCCUGAUGCAGCGACGCCGCGUGGGGGAUGACGGCCUUCGGGUUGUAAACUCCUUUCGCUAGGGACGAAGCUUAUUUKGKRACGGUMCCKGGAGAAGAAGC
rnacentral:rRNA from 1 species